rnacentral:rRNA from 1 species
GAUGAACGCUAGCGGCAGGCUUAACACAUGCAAGUCGAGGGGUAUAAUUCUUCGGAGCUAGAGACCGGCUCACGGGUGCGUGACGCGUAUGCAAUCUACCUUUUGCAGAGGGAUAGCCCAGAGAGAUUUGGAUUACUACCUCAUGAUAUGUGAGAAUGGCAUCAGUUUGACAUUAAAGUCCCAACGGCAAAAGCUGAGCAUGCGUCCAAUUAGCGAGUUGGUAAGGUAAAGGCUUACCAAGGCAACGAUGGGUAGGGGGCCUGAGAGGGAGAUCCCCCACACUGGUACUGAGACAAGGACCAGACGCGUAGGGGAGGCAGGAGUGAGGAAUAUUGGACAAUGGGCGCAAGCCUGAUACAGCCAGGCCGGGUGCAGGAUGACGGUCCUAUGGAUUGUAAACGGCUUUUGAACAGGAAGAAACACUGGUUCGUGAACCAGCUUGACGGUACUGUAAGAAUAAGGAUCGGCUAACUCCGUGCCAGCAGCCGCAGUAACAC